UUCUGUUCCCCAUUUGAUCCCCAAAUCGAGAGAAGAAACCCUAGCGGCGCAGCAGUGUUUCCUUUAGCUUGUCACAAAAUCGGAGCAGAGAGAUCAGUUAGGUCGAAGAGAUGGCAGAUCCAGGAGCAGGUGGGAGGAGAAGGUGCAGGUGCUGGUUUCGAUCCAUGGUCCGCCUUGCAGGAGGCGGCGGCGUGAUCCGGUGGAGCCCCAACUCUGGUGCGCGACGCCCAAACCCUAGCGCCGGCGCCUCCACCUCUCUCCUCCUCCUCAUCUCCUUGCGCGCAGAAGGGUGGUUGGGGUUUCUGUAGGGGCAAGGAGAGAUCUGCGAUGCGCGCAUCGCCGGCCAGCGAUGGCUUCGUGGACUGGCUGCUGGAGAUUGCCGAGGCCACCUGUGGGAAGGAAAGCCUCAUCUUCCAGUACAACCUCAGCCAGGUCGAAGAAGAAACUGGUAUAAAGUUAAAUCUAGAGGGCAUGGUUGAUCUUACUGCUUCGCCAGACCCUGCUACUAGGUGC